CGAACGGGUGAGUAACACGUGGGUGAUCUGCCCUGCACUUUGGGAUAAGCCUGGGAAACUGGGUCUAAUACCGAAUAGGACUCCGGAUCGCAUGGUCUGGGGUGGAAAGCUUUUGCGGUGUGGGAUGGGCCCGCGGCCUAUCAGCUUGUUGGUGGGGUGAUGGCCUACCAAGGCGACGACGGGUAGCCGGCCUGAGAGGGUGUCCGGCCACACUGGGACUGAGAUACGGCCCAGACUCCUACGGGAGGCAGCAGUGGGGAAUAUUGCACAAUGGGCGCAAGCCUGAUGCAGCGACGCCGCGUGGGGGAUGACGGCCUUCGGGUUGUAAACCUCUUUCAGCACAGACGAAGCGCAAGUGACGGUAUGUGCAGAAGAAGCACCGGCCAACUACGUGCCAGCAGCCGCGGUAAUACGUAGGGUGCGAGCGUUGUCCGGAAUUACUGGGCGUAAAGAGCUCGUAGGUGGUUUGUCGCGUUGUCCGUGAAAUCUCACAGCUUAACUGUGAGCGUGCGGGCGAUACGGGCAGACUGGAGUACUGCAGGGGAGACUGGAAUUCCUGGUGUAGCGGUGGAAUGCGCAGAUAUCAGGAGGAACACCGGUGGCGAAGGCGGGUCUCUGGGCAGUAACUGACGCUGAGGAGCGAAAGCGUGGGGAGCGAACAGGAUUAGAUACCCUGGUAGUCCACGCCGUAAACGGUGGGUACUAGGUGUGGGUUUCCUUCCUUGGGAUCCGUGCCGUAGCUAACGCAUUAAGUACCCCGCCUGGGGAGUACGGCCGCAAGGCUAAAACUCAAAGAAAUUGACGGGGGCCCGCACAAGCGGCGGAGCAUGUGGAUUAAUUCGAUGCAACGCGAAGAACCUUACCUGGGUUUGACAUGCACAGGACGCCGGCAGAGAUGUCGGUUCCCUUGUGGCCUGUGUGCAGGUGGUGCAUGGCUGUCGUCAGCUCGUGUCGUGAGAUGUUGGGUUAAGUCCCGCAACGAGCGCAACCUUGUCUCAUGUUGCCAGCACGUCAUGGUGGGGACUCGUGAGAGACUGCCGGGGUCAACUCGGAGGAAGGUGGGGAUGACGUCAAGUCAUCAUGCCCCUUAUGUCCAGGGCUUCACACAUGCUACAAUGGCCGGUACA
rnacentral:rRNA from 1 species